GACGAACGCUGGCGGCGUGCUUAACACAUGCAAGUCGAACGGAAAGACCCUGCUUUUGUGGGGUGCUCGAGUGGCGAACGGGUGAGUAACACGUGAGUAACCUGCCCUUGACUUUGGGAUAACUUCAGGAAACUGGGGCUAAUACCGGAUAGGAGCUCCUGCUGCAUGGUGGGGGUUGGAAAGUUUCGGCGGUUGGGGAUGGACUCGCGGCUUAUCAGCUUGUUGGUGGGGUAGUGGCUUACCAAGGCUUUGACGGGUAGCCGGCCUGAGAGGGUGACCGGGCACAUUGGUCCUGAGAUACGGCCCAGACUCCUACGGGAGGCAGCGGUGGAGAAUAUUGCACAAUGGGCGGAAGCCUGAGACAGCGGCGCUGCGUGCGGGAUGACGGCCUUCGGGUUGUAAACCGCUUUCGCCUGUGACGAAGCGUGAGUGACGGUAAUGGGUAAAGAAGCACCGGCUAACUACGUG
rnacentral:rRNA from 1 species